rnacentral:snRNA from 1 species
GGAUGUGAGGACAGUCUGGCUGUGACAUCUGUCACCCCACUGAUCACCAAGGGUUGAUUGAGUGGUCCCUUCCUCCCUCACAACUCCCUCUGUGUCCCUCCAGAAGCUGCGCGCUCUUGGUGAAAGAAGUUGAGUAACUGCACUUCCCUGCUCGAGUCUCCAAGCAAG